rnacentral:rRNA from 1 species
UAAGACGAGGGAUCCUAGCGUUGUUCGGAAUCAUUGGGCGUAAAGCGGGUGUAGGUGGCUUUGUAAGUCAGGUGUGAAAUCCCAGGGCUUAACCCUGGAAGUGCAUUUGAUACUGCAUAGCUUGAGUGUGGGAGAGAUUAGUAGAAUUCCUGGUGUAGUGGUGAAAUACGUAGAUAUCAGGAGGAAUACCGGAGGCGAAGGCGGCUAAUUGGCCCAACACUGACACUGAUGCCCGAAAGCGUGGGGAUCAAACAGG